GACGAACGCUGGCGGCGUGCUUAACACAUGCAAGUCGAACGGAAAGGCCCUGCUUGCAGGGUACUCGAGUGGCGAACGGGUGAGUAACACGUGGGUGAUCUGCCCUGCACUUCGGGAUAAGCCUGGGAAACUGGGUCUAAUACCGGAUAGGAGCCAUUUUUAGUGUGAUGGUUGGAAAGUUUUUUCGGUGUAGGAUGAGCUCGCGGCCUAUCAGCUUGUUGGUGGGGUAAUGGCCUACCAAGGCGGCGACGGGUAGCCGGCCUGAGAGGGUGGACGGCCACAUUGGGACUGAGAUACGGCCCAGACUCCGACGGGAGGCAGCAGGGGGGAAUAUUGCACAAGGGGCGCAAGCCUGAUGCAGCGACGCCGCGUGGGGGAGGACGGCCUUCGGGUUGUAAACUCCUUUCGCUAGGGACGAAGCUUUUUGUGACGGUACCUAGAGAAGAAGCACCGGCUAACUACGUG
rnacentral:rRNA from 1 species